rnacentral:rRNA from 1 species
GACGAACGCUGGCGGCGUGCUUAACACAUGCAAGUCGAACGGAAAGGCCCUGCUUGCAGGGUACUCGAGUGGCGAACGGGUGAGUAACACGUGGGUGAUCUGCCCUGCACUUCAGGAUAAGCCUGGGAAACUGGGUCUAAUACCGGAUAGGAGCCAUUUUUAGUGUGAUGGUUGGAAAGUUUUUUUCGGUGUAGGAUGAGCUCGCGGCCUAUCAGCUUGUUGGUGGGGUAAUGGCCUACCAAGGCGGCGACGGGUAGCCGGCCUGAGAGGGUGGACGGCCACAUUGGGACUGAGAUACGGCCCAGACUCCUACGGGAGGCAGCAGUGGGGAAUAUUGCACAAUGGGCGCAAGCCUGAUGCAGCGACGCCGCGUGGGGGAUGACGGCCUUCGGGUUGUAAACUCCUUUCGCUAGGGACGAAGCUUUUUGUGACGGUACCUAGAUAAGAAGCACCGGCUAACUACGUG